CAGAUGUUGGCACCAGGCCGGAACUGAGGAGCAGGCCUGACCCCGGGCUGUAGCAGUUGCCCAGGUUGGCACCACACUGCCCUAGAGAAUUCUUUCCCAUGUGACAGAGGCCCCUUUACUCCAUGUGUCACCACCCUGCAGGCAGCAUGGCUCGCUGCCCCCCCCUGCCCAUUUCCCCCAGCCAGGGUGAGCCCUCUUUGUGCAGAAGUGUCUCUUGCUACUUUGCUAAAUAAUAGGACCCUGUUGCUGUGGUCCCCAAACCUCAAGACAAUGGCUAGGAAGGCCCGGAUUUUUCUUGUCCCUUCUUGUCUCACUGCUCAGACUCAUCCUCACGUGUCCAUUGGGCAGCACAGAGUGGCCUAUUGUCCUCUUUGACCUUUUGGCCAUGCUGUGCCUUGUUUGAGGGGUAGUCCAACCUUCCUCUCCCACUGUGAGCCUCACUGACUCUCUUAGGACUCAGCUUAGGUACCACUGUUUGCAGGACCCCCUGCAAGCCUCGGGCUGUGCAAAGCCUGUUUCUGCCUUCCCACUGGAGUCUUCCGUGAGGUUCUAAGCAGGGAUAAAUUCCCCUUCUGCUCCGGCACAAUGCCCAGCAUUUAUUUGCUCAAUAAACACGUGAGGGCAGCUUGCCAGGAUCUCAGGGUUUUUCUUACCGGAGCAGGUGAUUUUGCCCCCUCG